UACAGCAAGCUCUUUACUCAGUGAUCCAGUCCCCAAGCCUCAUUUCCUUUAUCUCUGUUUUUUGUUUGUUUGUCUAUGCAUCCUGGCUAGCAUAGCCCUUCUGGUGGUCCUCUGGCAGCUCCCCCCACCCCAGUGCUGGGAUUAGAGGUAUGUGUUCACACACCCUACUCAGUGCUUCCCUCUGCUCUCAUCCCUCUGUGACUGUCCAGUUGAGCAGAGGAAAGCUCUUAGCCUCUCUGUCUUUUUCUGCCCCAUGAGCUCCAUCACUCCAGGCUUGGGCAGAGUCCCAGAAUCUGGAGGGAAUGCUGGCAUCCCACUCACCACAGUAUCCAUCUUCUUUAUGCCUGGACACACUUGUCUCACCGAAACACGGGAAGCUUCCCUCACCACCUGCCUUGACACCACCCACGCAAAGGCCUCCAGAGUCCUUUCUCUGCUAUCCUUGGCAGGCUUUGAAGGAAACGAUGCCUGCCUCUCCAGAAAUCCCACUCAAAGCAAGGUUCAAAAGCCCGCCUCAGAUUAAAGGCUGACCUGCUAACACGGGUGGGAGGCACGUGUGCACAGCCCUGCUGCACACGAAACUUGGCACACAGCGACUCUGCUUCUAAGGGUGGUUCCUAUAAAUGCGAGUUUGGAAAAUUGUGCCAAAACCACAGGAUGAGUCAGCUAUUUCUCUAGAAGCCAGCUGACUUUCUCUGGAGUCUGCCAGGAUGGAAACCUGUGAAGAUCUUGGUGACUUCCAGGCCUCAGGUGGCUCAUGGGAGGGGGAAUGGGGCUUUUUAAAGGACAUCCUUAUAAAAUCCUAUUGAAUGCCUGGUCAUCCUUAAGUGAUCACACCCCCUGGGACACUCAGGAAUGUUCUAGACUGUCUUGGAAUGAGCUGUCUAUGCAAAGGGAGGCCUAGGAGAAUCAAAGCAGAUGUAAGUCAGAAGACCAAGGUGUCCACCAAAGCACCUGGUGACAUGCACAGGGAUGAUCUGGGACCACAAGGCACCGAGGGAAGACCCAAAGGCCCAGGCCCUGGAACCAGAGGUGAAGCAGCCAGGAAGCAGGCCCAGAGACUCACUGGAAACACAGACCCAGCUUGGACCUAAGCAAGGACAUAUUGCAUGGCCCAGUUCCAGGACCAGAAGCCAGGAUUGACCAGACAGACAGGCACGUGUGAAGGGAUGAUUUUAGUUUCAAAGAUCUGAGGAAGACUCAGGAAUGUCUGAGGCCGUGGCACAUGGAAACUUGUGGCAAUUAUCUCUGGAUCUGUAGGAGCCAGGAGACCAUGUUUUGUUUACAUAUGCGCUUCUGCAUAUGCCGAAAACUAAUUCCUACCUGAGGAUGGGGACGCAUACCAAGACCUCAAGAUUGAAGGUGUUACUGGAGCGGCUCCUGCCUGCUCAUGUUCACCGCCCCUCCAAAAACUUAGUCCUCCAUGUUAAGGUGACAAUCAGGAGGAAGAGAAGAAAUGUUACUUAAACUUGAACAUGCCUGAUCACUGCCGUAUCAAAACUGUUCUUAUAUUUUCCAUCAGUCACAUAGGAAGGAUGUAGUGGUUGUAAUGAGAACUUUGACCUAUAGGCUCAUGUAUUUGAACUCUUCAUCCAGUGGAGGUGAUAGAGUCCUUAGAAUGUGGAACCUCACUGGAAGAAGUAUAUCACCGAAGGCAGGCUUUCAGUGUUUAAGUGGGGCCUGGGCCCCACUUCCUGUUCUCUGUCUCUCUUGGCUUCCUAUGUGUGGAUGGAAAUGUGACAGUCCAGACUCCUGCUCCUGCCACCUUGUUUUCCCAGCCCCUUGUCAUGCCUUGGGCACUGUGAUAACUCACUAAAAAAUAUGACAGGUAUGUUCUUGGCUUUCAAAAUUUUUUUGAAUAAAUAUCAUAUUCCUUUUCAUUGAAAGGGAACAUAUUAGAACAGAAAGGUGGACCAAUCAGAUGGCUCAGUGGGUAUAGGCAUUGUGGAGUGUCCACCAGGGAAGACUACUUGAACAUGAGUUUGAGCCAAUAAAAAAUCUUCAUUAGCCAA